AUUACUUCUCGGCCUUUUGGCUGAGAUCAAGUGUAGAAUCUUUCCUAUUUUAAUAUUGCAAAGGUAAUCUAGGUUUUCUCCUACAAAUUCUAU
rnacentral:snRNA from 1 species